UACAGAGGUCCCAAGCGUUGUUCGGAUUCAUUGGGCGUAAAGGGUGCGUAGGUGGCGCUGUAAGUCGGGUGUGAAAUUUCGGAGCUUAACUCCGAAACUGCAUUCGAUACUGCGGUGCUUGAGGACUGGAGAGGAGACUGGGAAUUCAUGGUGUAGCAGUGAAAUGCGUAGAGAUCAUGAGGAAGACCAGUGGCGAAGGCGGGUCUCUGGACAGUUCCUGACACUGAGGCACGAAGGCCAGGGGAGCAAACGGG
rnacentral:rRNA from 1 species